GACAGAGGUACCAAGCGUUAGGCGGAAUCACUGGGCUUAAAGCGUGUGUAGGCGGAUGUCUAAGUACCUUGUGAAAUCCCACGGCUCAACCGUGGAACUGCUUGGUAUACUGGAUGUCUUGAGCCAUCUAGGGGCUACCGGAACAAAUGGUGGAGCGGUGAAAUGCGUAGAUAUCAUUUGGAACGCCAAUGGUGAAAACAGGUAGCUGGGGAUGUGCUGACGCUGAGACACGAAAGCCAGGGGAGCGAACGGG
rnacentral:rRNA from 1 species